rnacentral:rRNA from 1 species
UACAGAGGUCCCAAGCGUUGUUCGGAUUCACUGGGCGUAAAAGGGUGCGUAGGUGGUGAGGUAAGUCGGAUGUGAAAGCUCCGAGCUCAACUCGGAAAUGGCAUUGGAAACUACCUUGCUCGAGGGUUUGAGGGGGGACUGGAAUACUUGGUGUAGCAGUGAAAUGCGUAGAUAUCAAGUAGAACACCAGUGGCGAAGGCGAGUCCCUGGAAAACUCCUGACACUGAGGCACGAAAGCUAGGGGAGCAAACAGG